CGCGAGGUAGAGGAGUAGGCAGCUCCUCGCACUCAUAACCCGAAGGUUGCAGGUUCGAGUCCUGCUUCCGCUA
rnacentral:tRNA from 2 species